UACGGAGGGCGCAAGCGUUAUCCGGAUUCACUGGGCUUAAAGGGUGCGUAGGUGGGCAAGUAAGUCAGUGGUGAAAUCUCCGGGCUUAACCCGGAAACUGCCAUUGAUACUAUUUGUCUUGAAUACUGUGGAGGUCAGCGGAAUAUGUCAUGUAGCGGUGAAAUGCUUAGAUAUGACAUAGAACACCAAUUGCGAAGGCAGCUGGCUACACAAAUAUUGACACUGAGGCACGAAAGCGUGGGGAGCAAACAGG
rnacentral:rRNA from 1 species